CUGUGAGGCAUUGAGCUAACCGAUACUAAUUGCCCGUGAGUCUUAACCAUACAACACCCAAGGGGU
rnacentral:rRNA from 1 species